CCUACGGGGGGCUGCAGUAAGGAAUAUUGGUCAAUGGAGGAAACUCUGAACCAGCCAUCCCGCGUGAAGGAUGAAGGGGCUCUGCCUUGUAAACUUCUUUUGUCUGGGGCGAAAAAGCUCGAUUUAUCGAGAACUGACGGUACCAGAAGAAUAAGCACCGGCUAACUCCGUGCCAGCAGCCGCGGUAAUACGGAGGGUGCCAGCGUUAUCCGGAAUCACUGGGUUUAAAGGGGGCGUAGUCAGCCAGGUAUGAAAGGCUGUGGCUUAACCAUGGAAUUGCCAUUGAUACUGCAGAGCUGGAAUGAGGUGGAGGUUGGCGGAAUGUGACAUGUAGCGGUGAAAUGCUUAGAUAUGUCAUGGAACACCGAUUGCGAAGGCAGCUGACUGGACCUAUAUUGACGCUGAGGCACGAAAGCGUGGGGAGCGAACAGGAUUAGAUACCGUGUAGUC
rnacentral:rRNA from 1 species